GACGAACGCUGGCGGCGUGCCUAAUACAUGCAAGUUGAGCGAUGAAGAUUGGUGCUUGCACCAAUUUGAAGAGCAGCGAACGGGUGAGUAACGCGUGGGGAAUCUGCCUUUGAGCGGGGGACAACAUUUGGAAACGAAUGCUAAUACCGCAUAACAACUUUAAACAUAAGUUUAAAGUUUGAAAGAUGCAAUUGCAUCACUCAAAGAUGAUCCCGCGUUGUAUUAGCUAGUUGGUGAGGUAAAGGCUCACCAAGGCGAUGAUACAUAGCCGACCUGAGAGGGUGAUCGGCCACAUUGGGACUGAGACACGGCCCAAACUCCUACGGGAGGCAGCAGUAGGGAAUCUUCGGCAAUGGACGAAAGUCUGACCGAGCAACGCCGCGUGAGUGAAGAAGGUUUUCGGAUCGUAAAACUCUGUUGGUAGAGAAGAACGUUGGUGAGAGUGGAAAGCUCAUCAAGUGACGGUAACUACCCAGAAAGGGACGGCUAACUACGUG
rnacentral:rRNA from 1 species